GAUGAACGCUGGCGGCGUGCCUAAUACAUGCAAGUCGAGCGAACGGACGAGAAGCUUGCUUCUCUGAUGUUAGCGGCGGACGGGUGAGUAACACGUGGAUAACCUACCUAUAAGACUGGGAUAACUUCGGGAAACCGGAGCUAAUACCGGAUAAUAUUUUGAACCGCAUGGUUCAAAAGUGAAAGACGGUCUUGCUGUCACUUAUAGAUGGAUCCGCGCUGCAUUAGCUAGUUGGUAAGGUAACGGCUUACCAAGGCAACGAUGCAUAGCCGACCUGAGAGGGUGAUCGGCCACACUGGAACUGAGACACGGUCCAGACUCCUACGGGAGGCAGCAGUAGGGAAUCUUCCGCAAUGGGCGAAAGCCUGACGGAGCAACGCCGCGUGAGUGAUGAAGGUCUUCGGAUCGUAAAACUCUGUUAUUAGGGAAGAACAUAUGUGUAAGUAACUGUGCACAUCUUGACGGUACCUAAUCAGAAAGCCACGGCUAACUACGUGCCAGCAGCCGCGGUAAUACGUAGGUGGCAAGCGUUAUCCGGAAUUAUUGGGCGUAAAGCGCGCGUAGGCGGUUUUUUAAGUCUGAUGUGAAAGCCCACCGCUCAACCGUGGAGGGUCAUUGGAAACUGGAAAACUUGAGUGCAGAAGAGGAAAGUGGAAUUCCAUGUGUAGCGGUGAAAUGCGCAGAGAUAUGGAGGAACACCAGUGGCGAAGGCGACUUUCUGGUCUGUAACUGACGCUGAUGUGCGAAAGCGUGGGGAUCAAACAGGAUUAGAUACCCUGGUAGUCCACGCCGUAAUCGAUGAGUGCUAAGUGUUAGGGGGUUUCCGCCCCUUAGUGCUGCAGCUAACGCAUUAAGCACUCCGCCUGGGGAGUACGACCGCAAGGUUGAAACUCAAAGGAAUUGACGGGGACCCGCACAAGCGGUGGAGCAUGUGGUUUAAUUCGAAGCAACGCGAAGAACCUUACCAAAUCUUGACAUCCUUUGACAACUCUAGAGAUAGAGCCUUCCCCUUCGGGGGACAAAGUGACAGGUGGUGCAUGGUUGUCGUCAGCUCGUGUCGUGAGAUGUUGGGUUAAGUCCCGCAACGAGCGCAACCCUUAAGCUUAGUUGCCAUCAUUAAGUUGGGCACUCUAAGUUGACUGCCGGUGACAAACCGGAGGAAGGUGGGGAUGACGUCAAAUCAUCAUGCCCCUUAUGAUUUGGGCUACACACGUGCUACAAUGGACAAUACAAAGGGCAGCGAAACCGCGAGGUCAAGCAAAUCCCAUAAAGUUGUUCUCAGUUCGGAUUGUAGUCUGCAACUCGACUACAUGAAGCUGGAAUCGCUAGUAAUCGUAGAUCAGCAUGCUACGGUGAAUACGUUCCCGGGUC
rnacentral:rRNA from 1 species